GCACAAGUGCUCUCACCAGGCUGCGCGCUGGCGGGUCGGUGCACAGGGACGGGGUCGCCGCCCACGCGCGCUUGGUUCAGGGAGCCCAGGCUGUCCCUACCCGCGGCUACAAAAGCUCGCCGAGUCUUCCUGUCCACCCAAUCGCCCCACAUGUCAGCGGUUGGUCGCCUCGCGGUGCAGUGCUGGGCACGCGAGCCCCUCCCGCAGUCAUUCUCAGCACAAGCACCAGCCUGGAGCCCCGCAGCGACAGAGCUGAGAGCCCCCAAGCCGCAGAGGUCGUGCGGAGCAGGCCUAAGGCAAUAGCUAAUUGAGACUAUGCAUCACUAUUAAGGCAUCUUCACUAAAGGGCGCUGUGGAAACGCUGCCUGAGAUGCAGACACCUGUCAGAAGGGGGCUAAAUUUCAAACAAGGAACGUGGUGUUGCAUCACAAUAAAAACAGAAGAAACACACGUGUUCUUGUGUGUAAACCCAGUCCAUGGAAGAGACCGUCUGCUUGUCCCUCCUGAUCUCUGGGCCCAGACAACCAGUAGUCACCAUUCCAAGUGAGGGGUGGCUGCAACUCUACAGCCCCGUUCGUCUCUCCUCACUGUCAAAGCUGCUGAGACCCCAGACUCGACACUUGAAAGAAACCCAUGUCUGUGAAGCACUUGUGGACCAUUCAAGAUUGUGGAAGAAUCACUCAAGAGAAGGAGAUAGCAAUAUUUGCAGAUAUGCAAACUGGCCCCUUGCAUGCACAUCCUGGAGCACGUCCUGGAGCCUUUAGAGGAGACGGCUGCUGCUGUUCCAGUCUCUCCUUAGGCAGACUUGAGUUUCUACCCACUCUUCCCAAGCAGCCGCCCCUCCGCACCCGAGCGAGCCAAAGACCUGGCGGGCUGAGUACUCACUGCGCGCUGGACACAUGCUGAGCCGGCACUGCAGGGACACAGGGCGAGCCGCUGGAUGCAGACCUGUGGCCGCGGCAGUUGGGCUUAUCUUGCCCAUGAAGUUGCCUCUGAAGAACCAAGUCCAACUGUGUAUGCUGAGAGAUGUCUGGCUACUUCCUGAUUGACAGUUCUGGCAAGGUGGCAUUGGGCCCUGGCUUUUCCUCUGGAGGCAUCAUCACUUAUAGGAAAAUGUCCCCUGAAGUCCAAGGAUCAAAGCUGCUGGAACACUGAGAAGCUGAACAAAGGAGAACUGUUUCUCAUCAAACCCAGACUUCCAGACUUCCAAUAGGGUAGAAUGAGCAAGUCAGCAAAUCAUCUUCCUUGGAAACAGUGAUAAAACUAGAUGACAUUGUCAACAACAGCCAUUUCAGAAAUCUAGAAAAUGACCAAAGGCAAACAACAAACUGAGAAGCAUUUUUUUUUCCAUGAAAAAUCGCUCUAUUUCUGCAAAAAUAGUGGGAGUCUAUGGCUUCUCAUCCAGGGCUGUUUCUCUCCCCACCCCAGCUCAGUCAGUACAAAGGUUCUGGCAGCAUGAGGCAGACUGAACAGACCUGAAGUUUGAUUGCUGGAAGAAACUGACUCCAGGUUUGGCAGAGGGUGAGAAACCUACUCCCAGCCAUGUUGUCUGGUGACACAGUGACCUUAGGGACAAGUGAAUAGGGAAGGCCAGUGAUUCAUUAACCUGAGGUUGCAGUCCUGGUUGGGGAAAGCAUCAGAAUGGCAGAUAAGCUAGAAAUUUAGUAGGGAUAUGCUGGAAAUGAGACAACCCCAAAGGGGCUUGACCCCAAAGUUGUCCACACACCCCAGCUGCCUUCUGAGCAGAUGUAGGGAGAGACCAGAGAAGGCCUAGGCUAUCCACACAUCUCUGGCUAACCCAGGCUGUAAACCUGUGGAGGAGACACAAGAGGUGGAUUGAUUGCUAAUGGGCAUAUGGGGGAUCUUACUGGUUGAUAGGAACAUUCUCAAAUUGGAUUGUGGUGAUGCUUGCACAACUCUAAGUUUAUCCCAAAUUGCUAAAUUUUACACUAAAAAGGGGUGAACUUUAGGGUAUAUAAAUUAUACAUCAAUAAAGUUGUCAUAAAGCAUUCACAUUCUAAUAAAUGGCUCUAAGAAAUAUUGUUUUGAAAAUUUUCCUUUGGUAUAUUAUGGCACUCCAAAAUCAACUUCUGUCAGAACAAUAAUUAACUAUUUCUGAUUAUAGAUAUUGGUCAUCUACAAUGAUUUAUUCAGUCUUUUAUGUCCCGCAUAAGGGCUUAGAAUGCUUUAAAUUUCUAAGACCAUCAAUAGCCAGGACUCACCUGAAAACUAUAUAUAUUUUUAAAAAGACGUAUGCUCUGGGACACCAUAUGCUAACAUUUGUUGAGCACACAGUUUGCUACAGAGGUUAAGAGGUGUACUAUUUAAAUCUAACUUCCUCAAGGGGCUCACACUAUUACAAUAGUAAGCUAAAGAGAUAGAAGAAAAGUUUAUAUAUAAAAUCUCAGUACAGGGAUGGGGUUGGUAACAAAUAAGAUGCUGCCACUUACACUUGAUAAAUUAUAAAAUAUCUAUUGCAUUCAUUAUUGGAGGCUGACCCUUAUAAAAACCUUGUGGGUACUGCAAAAGACAGGGAAACCGAGGCUCAGAGUGGUUCAGCAACUUGUGUGAGGUCACAUACCUCAUGUCAAAGCUGAGAUUUAAAUGUGUGUGGCUAGGCUGGACAUGGUGGCUCACACCUGUAAUCCUAGCACCCUGGGAGGCUGAGGUGGAACACACUCCUUGUUUGUGUCCAGGAGUUCAAGACCAGCCUGGACAACAUAAUGAGACCUCAUCUCUACAAAAAAUAAAAAAUUAGCUGGGUGUGGGGCCACGCACCCCAAGGUUCUCAGGAGGCUGAGGCAGGAGGACUGCUUGAAAUCAGGAGGUUGAGCCUGCAGUGAGCUGUGAUCAUGCCACUGCACUCUGCCUGGGUGACAGAGUGAGACCCUGUCUCAAAAAAAUAAAAAUAAAAACAAAUAAAUGUGUGUGGCUGAUUCUCAUGCAAAUAUUGGUGAAGAUCUGGUAGUGAUGUAAAUUGGUAGAACCUCAGUGGGAGAUAACUUUGCAAUAGCUAUCAAAUGAAAACUGUGUAUAUUCUUUGUUUCAGGAAUUUCACUUCUAAGAUGUUUUUAAUAUAGCAGAAAUGGUUAUCCAUAAAGAAUUAGUUCAAUACAUUUUAUCUGUAAAAUGGAAUGCAAUGCGGCCAUUAAAAAGGAGGCAUAUCUGAGUAUACUAAUAUAGAAUGGUCUGCAAGAUAUAUUAACUUUUUUACAAAAGCUGUUCCCCACACUUCUUCGUGUUGUUUGAAAAGACGUGAAGGCUCAGACAGGCCUUCAUUGUGACUUGCCCAGGAUGAGUAGCAGGGCUGGAAUUCCUACUCAGGAGUCCAGAUUUAUAGGCUUCCUCUUUGCUUUAUCCUAUUUCAUAGCUGUCUCUGUUGCCAGAGCCAUGGAAGG
rnacentral:lncRNA from 1 species